rnacentral:rRNA from 1 species
GAUGAACGCUGGCGGCGUGCCUAAUACAUGCAAGUCGAGCGAACGGACGAGAAGCUUGCUUCUCUGAUGUUAGCGGCGGACGGGUGAGUAACACGUGGAUAACCUACCUAUAAGACUGGGAUAACUUCGGGAAACCGGAGCUACUACCGGAUAAUAUUUUGAACCGCAUGGUUCAAAAGUGAAAGACGGUCUUGCUGUCACUUAUAGAUGGAUCCGCUCUGCAUUAGCUAGUUGGUAAGGUAGCGGCUUACCAAGGCAACGAUGCAUAGCCGACCUGAGGGGGUCAUCGGCCACCCUGGAAGUGGGACACGGUCCAGACUCCGACGGGAGGCAGCAGUAGGGAAUCCUCCGCAAUGGGCGAAAGCGUGACGGAGCAACGCCGCGGGAGGCAUGAAGGUCUUCGGAUCGGAAAACUCUGUUAUUAGGGAAGAACAUAUGUGUAAGUAACUGUGCACAUCUUGACGGUACCUAAUCAGAAAGCCACGGCUAACUACGUG